rnacentral:lncRNA from 1 species
UGGUCAAAAGUAUUGUAUUAGAGAAAGACCAUAUUGCAUUGUAAUCCCAAACUGAAUAGGUUCCCCACCUCUUCUGAUUAGCUUGGGUAACCAUGACAUACUGUUAGGUGUCACUCAUGGUUUGUGGAAGCCCUAAACGUGUAUAAUCACUAAAGGGAGAAUUGAAAGUAAGUUUCAAUUCACAAUCGAUUUGAAAGAGUUCUAAUCGCGCACUGCCUCGCUAAAAGGAACCUAAUGGAUAAACAAAGGGCUUGAAAGCCCAAUAAACCCUUAAGGCCGGCCAAAUAGAGGAGGGUAGUGAACUUACUUUAAUUGCAAGUUUGCCACUCCAUUGUGAGGUGGUAUAAAGGCAACUUUAUAGCCAUUUCAUCCUUAGGGUUUUCUUUUAGGGAAAGGAUGAGAACACAAUGCUCUCCCUUUCUCUCUAAGAGGCCGCCCCCCCUUGGAGGAGAUUAGCUCACAAUCUCUCAUCCUCCAAGGUCACUCAUCUCUUCUUCAAGUCCCUCCUUGGUGUGGAAAAAUUAG